rnacentral:rRNA from 1 species
AAGCGGGAAGAGCUUCCAAAUUUUGAAAUUCUUGGUGGCCUCCAGGUCAUCCGAGUUGUAAUCUAUAGAAGUGUUUUCCGUGCUGGCUCAUGUACAAGUCCCUUGGAACAGGGCGUCAUAGAGGGUGAGAAUCCCGUCCUUGACAUGAACUACCAGUGCUCUGUGAUACAUUUUCAACGAGUCGAGUUGUUUGGGAAUGCAGCUCAAAAUGGGUGGUAAAUUCCAUCUAAAGCUAAAUAUUGGCGAGAGACCGAUAGCGAACAAGUACCGUGAGGGAAAGAUGAAAAGCACUUUGGAAAGAGAGUUAAACAGUAUGUGAAAUUGUUAAAAGGGAAACGAUUGAAGUCAGUCGUGCUCUUUGGAUUCAGCCGGUUCUGCCGGUGUACUUCCUUUGAGUGGGGUCAACAUCAGUUUUGAUCGCUGGAUAAAGGCUGGAGGAACGUAGCACCCCCGGGUGAACUUAUAGCCUCCUGUCACAUACAGUGGUUGGGACUGAGGAACGCAGCACGCCUUUAUGGCCAGGAUCCGUCCAUGUACGUGCUUAGGAUGUUGACAUAAUGGCUUUAAACGACCCGUCUUGA